GAUGAACGCUGGCGGCGUGCCUAAUACAUGCAAGUCGAGCGAACAGACGAGGAGCUUGCUCCUUUGACGUUAGCGGCGGACGGGUGAGUAACACGUAGGUAACCUACCUAUAAGACUGGGAUAACUUCGGGAAACCGGAGCUAAUACCGGAUAAUAUUUCGAACCGCAUGGUUCGAUAGUGAAAGAUGGCUUUGCUAUCACUUAUAGAUGGACCUGCGCCGUAUUAGCUAGUUGGUAAGGUAACGGCUUACCAAGGCAACGAUACGUAGCCGACCUGAGAGGGUGAUCGGCCACACUGGAACUGAGACACGGUCCAGACUCCUACGGGAGGCAGCAGUAGGGAAUCUUCCGCAAUGGGCGAAAGCCUGACGGAGCAACGCCGCGUGAGUGAUGAAGGUCUUCGGAUCGUAAAACUCUGUUAUUAGGGAAGAACAAACGUGUAAGUAACUGUGCACGUCUUGACGGUACCUAAUCAGAAAGCUACGGCUAACUACGUG
rnacentral:rRNA from 1 species